GGUGUGAUGGCCGAGUGGUCUAAGGCGGUGGUCUUAAGCACCAUUAUCGAAAGAUGCGUGGGUUCGAACCCCACUCGCACCA